AGCUGAGCUGUCAACCGCGAGUGAGCGGAGGCGGGGCUCCCUGCGGCCCAGGACCCGCCCAGGUGACACGCCGCGGCACACACCCUCCGGCCUCCACCGCCUCCCUCGCAGGCUGAGUGAUGAUAUCUCAGGAGUGGCCUUCGAUGGCCCUCUUCAUACCUCCUGUCUCUCGCUCGUCCCAGUAGGGGCUUUGGAUAAAACCAGCCAGCUGCAAGGGAGCACCUUGGAGAGGUGGUCUUCCCCUGCGCCUGCGUCACCCACCCUCAGCAACCAGGCUCUACCAGAAGAUCCCAGGACUCACAGGGCUCCUGAACAUCCCAGAAUGAUCCUAACGCCUUAAGAGCCUUAAGAGUGGCCCCUAGGAAGUCGACUCUCCGUGGAGGCUGUUCUGAGAUCACAUGCAAAGCUUUUCCUUCCAAGGAGGGGGCUGCCCAGACCUUGUGCAUCUAUGUAUGUACCAAUGUUUAACAAGACAGACAUGCUGUAAUUAGAGGGCUUGCCGCCUGGAGCUCCCUUUUAACUCUGAAAUAAACCUUUUUAUUAAGUCA